AGAAACUUAGGAUUAAACCCGCCGCCCAAACCAAAGGCCUUCAAAGCCUUAAAUAAGAGUUAACUCUCUUAGUUUCUG
rnacentral:tRNA from 1 species